rnacentral:lncRNA from 1 species
UAUUGAUUGCAUCUGAUUGCGCAGGAGUUAUCCGAAGCAUUGGGGAAGGAUCUUUGGUUGAAAAUGCUACGAUCAUAAGAAAGAUCAAAGAGAUGAAGAAUGGGAUGGCGGAUAUUAUGUUUAAAUUUGAAAGUAGGAGCUGUAAUUGGCAUGCCCAUUAUAUUGAUAGAAAUUAUUUAGUCCUUAAUGUGGGCGGCCAUGUUUGGCUUUUAUUGCCCCCGGGCUAUGUAAAACUCUCAGUUGUUGCUCAAAAAUAAAAAUAAAAAAUCAAGGCCUUCACACAUGCCUGCGAGUGAGAGCCAGUGAGACUGAAGCGCCCCGCUUGGCGACCAACGUUUGCAGGUCAGUACGCCGUCCUUUAGUUUCUUCUCAGUCGUAGUAAUGGGAAUCGGAGGCUAGUAGCUACGUACUUAAAAGGGCACCGGAUCUAACUAACAGCCAACUCAUUCCUACCAAGAGGCUGCUCUGUGCGUGAUUCCAUCAGCCAAUCGGUUGCUAGAUUGUUAGUCUUGUACACAUAAAUGGUUCGUUUUGGCCGGCCGGAGCAGUUCCAUGGUCUGUGGCCCGAGGCUCCAUUCUUUGAUUAGUUGCCCAUUUUCCCCAUCUUACUUAGCUGCCUUAUCUGCUCGUGCAAUACAUAUUUGAUUCCUGCAUUGCGGUGUCUAUAUCUUCAGUACUGAUUGAUGCUCCGCCUUCCUGGAUUCAUGCAGCCAACCUGUUUGACGAAAUAUCGGCACCGGCAUCCACUCCCUGUGGUUCCAAGAGCGCGCGAGGCACCUACAAUGGUGUCCGACAGACUCCACAGCCUUCACAAUGAGCAAACUUCAACAUUAAAAGGACUGUACAUCUUAGUUAAAAUUAGAGAAUAUCGACCAUCGCAAACCAAGAAAAUAGGUCGAAGGUCCUAAAUAUUGCAGUAAAAAAACCACACAAAGUCCACAUACUUAAAAGGUGUAUCAGAUACGUCCUUCACUAAAAGAAUCACUAAGAACAUCUAGCUUGAGUUGUACGGAGUAAGAUUUGUUGAAGUAAGAAAUAUGGAAACUCAUAUGAGCUAGCUAACCCGUGAAUGACGUGCCAACCUUCACCUUUCAUUUGCUUCAAAUUUAAUACUCCCUCCGUCACAUAAUAUAAGAGCGUCUUAUAUUAUGGGACGGAGGGAGUACAAGUAACUAAAUCUGCAGAUAUAUGCAAUUUCAAAUCAACAAGCUCUUGAGAGCCAAAACAAAAUUACAAUAUGUAACUAGUCAAACAGUCAAGUAAGCAUCACAAACAGGUAAACAAACUCGAGAGAAUAUAUCAUAUCGUCUGAUUAUGGAAUCACAAACAAGUGAGCAUCACACACUCUCACUCGCAUCAGCAGGAUCUCUAUAGCGCAAAUUGAAGCUUCGAAAGAAAAAACUGCAGGGAAAAAUAAUUAGCUUGUACACGAGCUAAAAGAGGAAGAAUUAGGAUGCCACUACAUUAAGAACUAAGCCAGAAAGGAAGCAUUAUGGAUUAUGGAUAAGCAUUGGUAGAAGUACUUGUGAUUUUCUUACUCCCUUUGUGUUGGAGGAACUACCAAAGAAUUAAGAGAAGGCACAAUAGAAAAUCUACAGCUAUCCACUGAAUUAUCAAAAUUUGGUAGGCUGCAUUCAACCUACAUAAAUACUAUACCAUAUAAGAGAGAGCCCGGUGCAGUAAUAAGACGCUGUGCAUAUAUCAGAUCUGAAUAUUGUAUGAUGGCAGCAGUCUUUGGUGUAUGUGUUUGUGUGGCAUAUUCAUGACACAUGAUCCAGGAAGGUCAAGAUAAGGCCUCUAAAAAUAACAUGAUUUGACAACAGAAGUGCCAAACUAAUCAGGCAUAUAGGAUCUAAAACCGUAAGAGAGGCAUAGCAAAUAAACUCAAUGUAGUGCUUAUGUAGACCACAGCAGAUAUCACCAUACACAUUUCUUAUGUACGCACAUAUACUCAUCGGCAAAACAAAGAAUGCUAAUCGAUCCUCUGCUGUUUCCAGAACUUGAGAAACUCAAACUAAAAAUCAAUCUGAGUGGAACUGACACCAGCUCCUGAUGUGUCAAAACCUUGGCAUAUCAUGCUUAAGCACAAGUAAUACAUGAGCCAAGCAAAAAACAAACGGUGCAUUUAACUGUCUCUGUCUGCAAAUAUAAAUUUGUUGUGCUCAAGGGUUAACAUAUAUAUCUGGCACCCCGCAAAAAAAAAACAUAUAUACCUGGCACCUAAUAUUCUGCUACCAUAUUUCAACAUGAAUUUGAGCUAUACAAAUUACAAAGUAGACCCACAGUCUGCAAGAACAAAUCUACGCAAUUAGGAGUUUAGCACUAAUGCUACAGACUGCACAGAGAGAGGAAAAAAAUUGAAAGUGGAACUUCCUUCAUGAAGGGGAUCUCACUGGGGGGAUGUGGGGAACAGGGGAUGGCUGAGGAGGACGGCCACAAUGUGCAGACGGAGGCCAGCAGCUGCAGGCAGCGGAGCAGAAAACCCGGCUGGCUGCCAUGCUCGGCGGAGUUGGGGCCACGACUGUAUUCUCCAAAAAAAUGUCAGUCGAUGCUCGAUGGUGAGGAUGCAACGUCUACCAUCAACCUGAAAUUCCGUUUUCUGUAAGCCAACAGAGUGAGAGGUGGAGGAGGAGGAGCAGUGGUUACCAGGCGGAGAAGCAGUUGGUCGGAGGAGGACGCAGCAAAGGUGCAGAGUGGAUGAACGCAGC